rnacentral:rRNA from 1 species
GAUGAACGCUGACAGAAUGCUUAACACAUGCAAGUCUACUUGAUCCUUCGGGUGAUGGUGGCGGACGGGUGAGUAACGCGUAAAGAACUUGCCCUGCAGUCUGGGACAACAUUUGGAAACGAAUGCUAAUACCGGAUAUUAUGCGAGAUUCGCAUGUUUCUCGUAUGAAAGCUAUAUGCGCUGCAGGAGAGCUUUGCGUCCUAUUAGCUAGUUGGUGAGGUAACGGCUCACCAAGGCGAUGAUAGGUAGCCGGCCUGAGAGGGUGAACGGCCACAAGGGGACUGAGACACGGCCCUUACUCCUACGGGAGGCAGCAGUGGGGAAUAUUGGACAAUGGACCAAAAGUCUGAUCCAGCAAUUCUGUGUGCACGAUGAAGUUUUUCGGAAUGUAAAGUGCUUUCAGUUGGGACGAAGUAAGUGACGGUACCAACAGAAGAAGCGACGGCUAAAUACGUGCCAGCAGCCGCGGUAAUACGUAUGUCGCAAGCGUUAUCCGGAUUUAUUGGGCGUAAAGCGCGUCUAGGCGGUUUGGUAAGUCUGAUGUGAAAAUGCGGGGCUCAACUCCGUAUUGCGUUGGAAACUGUCAAACUAGAGUACUGGAGAGGUGGGCGGAACUACAAGUGUAGAGGUGAAAUUCGUAGAUAUUUGUAGGAAUGCCGAUGGGGAAGCCAGCCCACUGGACAGAUACUGACGCUAAAGCGCGAAAGCGUGGGUAGCAAACAGGAUUAGAUACCCUGGUAGUCCACGCCGUAAACGAUGAUUACUAGGUGUUGGGGGUCGAACCUCAGCGCCCAAGCUAACGCGAUAAGUAAUCCGCCUGGGGAGUACGUACGCAAGUAUGAAACUCAAAGGAAUUGACGGGGACCCGCACAAGCGGUGGAGCAUGUGGUUUAAUUCGACGCAACGCGAGGAACCUUACCAGCGUUUGACAUCCUAGGAAGUUGGCAGAGAUGCCUUCGUGCCCCUUCGGGGGAACCUAGUGACAGGUGGUGCAUGGCUGUCGUCAGCUCGUGUCGUGAGAUGUUGGGUUAAGUCCCGCAGCGAGCGCAACCCCUUUCGUAUGUUGCCAUCAUUAAGUUGGGAACUCAUGCGAUACUGCCUGCGAUGAGCAGGAGGAAGGUGGGGAUGACGUCAAGUCAUCAUGCCCCUUAUACGCUGGGCUACACACGUGCUACAAUGGGUAGUACAGAGAGUCGCUAACCUGCGAGGGGGAGCUAAUCUCAGAAAACUAUUCUCAGUUCGGAUUGUACUCUGCAACUCGAGUACAUGAAGUUGGAAUCGCUAGUAAUCGCAAAUCAGCUAUGUUGCGGUGAAUACGUUCUCGGGUCU